rnacentral:rRNA from 1 species
GACGAACCGUGCGAACGUUGUUCGGAAUCACUGGGCGUAAAGCGCGCGCAGGCGGCGGUGCUGGCCCGGCGUGAAAGCCCCCGGCUCAACCGGGGAGAGUCGUCGGGGACCGCACCGCUUGAGGGCGGUAGGGGCUGAUGGAAUGCCUGGUGUAGUGGUGAAAUGCGUAGAGAUCAGGCAGAACACCUGGGGCGAAGGCGGCCAGCUGGGCCGUCCCUGACGCUGAGGCGCGAAGGCGUGGGGAGCGAACGGG